GGGAACCAGGACCGGGGAACUCUGAGGGCCAUGCCACCAGUGAUCAGAAACCGUGAUGUCUGGAGCAGGUAACCAGCACCGGAUGGAUCGCAGAAGCCUGAGAGUGACUCUGGUGGCAGGAAAUUAAGAUGAAUAAUUCCAGCCACGAACACAACUGGAGGUACUUGAAGUGAUUCUGAUAGAUGCCGAUCGACAGCGCAGGAAAACAAAGACACUACUGCUCUACACAGCCUGGCCCAGUACAACACUUACUUUAUUAGUCCAUCAGGGUGACAACCCAGUGUUGAAGGGAACUGCUUCUAAUGGGAACUGGACAGAGACCACCAAGCCAUUUCACACAGACAGACCCUCCACUCCCUCCCACCAACACCUGUAAGAUGAUGGCAACUUUCAGACUCCAUUGAGCUGGGCUGGAUUUGGCUGGAUGACUUGAGGUCUUGAUGCAGCAAAGCCAUUAACCACAUUAUCACACGCUGUCACUGGGACUAUCGGCAUACUUACAAUUCAGUGUGUAUGUAAGUGCUUUUGCUGAAUGGGGGCUAUAGUGGGGAACUGCUCCACAUCUCCUCCCAUUACCAACUCCUGAACUCUCCAGUUCCCUGCUUAAAAGCACCCAAUAACCUGUCACCUACUGCUUGGCAAUAACUUAGUCUGGACAAUGACAUCACUGUUUGCAUCAUAAUGAAUAUAACCUCCUGUAAGUCAUGUGCUAUAAAGAUCCAGAGUGUUGCUAUCUACUUCAGUGGGAAUAGGAUCAGGUCCAUAAUGCCUUUGAGUGCAUACUGCACAACAAGUCUAAUAAGAGCUUGAUUUUCAUUUUUGUCAGCUGAGCAUCUUGGAACCUUUCAGGCAGAACAUUCUAAUUUAACUAUCAAAGUUUUUCUCUAAAGCUAUUACCAUAACUUUCAAUAAAACAAAGUAUUUGCAGUGCAGAGUUAUACAGUAGCUGCAGGAUAUUAUUAAUAGAUCCUAACAGAAGGAGCUGUGUUUUAAUUGCAGUGUUUUGUACAUAUUUAGAAAGCAAAUUAUUUGGAGGCAGAGCUAUAGUCAAUACCUGCAGUGCUGCUAAUGAAAUUAUAAAUAAAUGUCUUCUUCAAGGAGGU